AGACCCGAAACCCGGUGAUCUAGCCAUGGGCAGGUUGAAGGUUGGGUAACACUAACUGGAGGACCGAACCGACUAAUGUUGAAAAAUUAGCGGAUGACUUGUGGCUGGGGGUGAAAGGCCAAUCAAACCGGGAGAUAGCUGGUUCUCCCCGAAAGCUAUUUAGGUAGCGCCUCGUGAAUUCAUCUCCGGGGGUAGAGCACUGUUUCGGCAAGGGGGUCAUCCCGACUUACCAACCCGAUGCAAACUGCGAAUACCGGAGAAUGUUAUCACGGGAGACACACGGCGGGUGCUAACGUCCGUCGUGAAGAGGGAAACAACCCAGACCGCCAGCUAAGGUCCCAAAGUCAUGGUUAAGUGGGAAACGAUGUGGGAAGGCCCAGACAGCCAGGAUGUUGGCUUAGAAGCAGCCAUCAUUUAAAGAAAGCGUAAUAGCUCACUGGUCGAGUCGGCCUGCGCGGAAGAUGUAACGGGGCUAAACCAUGCACCGAAGCUGCGGCAGCGACACUGUGUGUUGUUGGGUAGGGGAGCGUUCUGUAAGCCUGUGAAGGUGUGCUGUGAGGCAUGCUGGAGGUAUCAGAAGUGCGAAUGCUGACAUAAGUAACGAUAAAGCGGGUGAAAAGCCCGCUCGCCGGAAGACCAAGGGUUCCUGUCCAACGUUAAUCGGGGCAGGGUGAGUCGACCCCUAAGGCGAGGCCGAAAGGCGUAGUCGAUGGGAAACAGGUUAAUAUUCCUGUACUUGGUGUUACUGCGAAGGGGGGACGGAGAAGGCUAUGUUGGCCGGGCGACGGUUGUCCCGGUUUAAGCGUGUAGGCUGGUUUUCCAGGCAAAUCCGGAAAAUCAAGGCUGAGGCGUGAUGACGAGGCACUACGGUGCUGAAGCAACAAAUGCCCUGCUUCCAGGAAAAGCCUCUAAGCAUCAGGUAACAUCAAAUCGUACCCCAAACCGACACAGGUGGUCAGGUAGAGAAUACCAAGGCGCUUGAGAGAACUCGGGUGAAGGAACUAGGCAAAAUGGUGCCGUAACUUCGGGAGAAGGCACGCUGAUAUGUAGGUGAAGUCCCUCGCGGAUGGAGCUGAAAUCAGUCGAAGAUACCAGCUGGCUGCAACUGUUUAUUAAAAACACAGCACUGUGCAAACACGAAAGUGGACGUAUACGGUGUGACGCCUGCCCGGUGCCGGAAGGUUAAUUGAUGGGGUCAGCGCAAGCGAAGCUCUUGAUCGAAGCCCCGGUAAACGGCGGCCGUAACUAUAACGGUCCUAAGGUAGCGAAAUUCCUUGUCGGGUAAGUUCCGACCUGCACGAAUGGCGUAAUGAUGGCCAGGCUGUCUCCACCCGAGACUCAGUGAAAUUGAACUCGCUGUGAAGAUGCAGUGUACCCGCGGCAAGACGGAAAGACCCCGUGAACCUUUACUAUAGCUUGACACUGAACAUUGAGCCUUGAUGUGUAGGAUAGGUGGGAGGCUUUGAAGUGUGGACGCCAGUCUGCAUGGAGCCGACCUUGAAAUACCACCCUUUAAUGUUUGAUGUUCUAACGUGGACCCGUGAUCCGGGUUGCGGACAGUGUCUGGUGGGUAGUUUGACUGGGGCGGUCUCCUCCUAAAGAGUAACGGAGGAGCACGAAGGUUGGCUAAUCCUGGUCGGACAUCAGGAGGUUAGUGCAAUGGCAUAAGCCAGCUUGACUGCGAGCGUGACGGCGCGAGCAGGUGCGAAAGCAGGUCAUAGUGAUCCGGUGGUUCUGAAUGGAAGGGCCAUCGCUCAACGGAUAAAAGGUACUCCGGGGAUAACAGGCUGAUACCGCCCAAGAGUUCAUAUCGACGGCGGUGUUUGGCACCUCGAUGUCGGCUCAUCACAUCCUGGGGCUGAAGUAGGUCCCAAGGGUAUGGCUGUUCGCCAUUUAAAGUGGUACGCGAGCUGGGUUUAGAACGUCGUGAGACAGUUCGGUCCCUAUCUGCCGUGGGCGCUGGAGAACUGAGGGGGGCUGCUCCUAGUACGAGAGGACCGGAGUGGACGCAUCACUGGUGUUCGGGUUGUCAUGCCAAUGGCACUGCCCGGUAGCUAA
rnacentral:rRNA from 1 species